rnacentral:rRNA from 1 species
CCUACGGGAGGCAGCAGUGGGGAAUAUUGGACAAUGGGCGCAAGCCUGAUCCAGCCAUGCCGCGUGUGUGAAGAAGGCCUUCGGGUUGUAAAGCACUUUCAGUGGGGAAGAAAGCCUUGGGGCUAAUACCCUCGAGGAAGGACAUCACCCACAGAAGAAGCACCGGCUAACUCCGUGCCAGCAGCCGCGGUAAUACGGAGGGUGCGAGCGUUAAUCGGAAUUACUGGGCGUAAAGCGCGCGUAGGCGGUCUGAUAAGCCGGUUGUGAAAGCCCCGGGCUCAACCUGGGAACGGCAUCCGGAACUGUCAGACUAGAGUGCAGUAGAGGAGGGUAGAAUUCCCGGUGUAGCGGUGAAAUGCGUAGAGAUCUGGAGGAAUACCGGUGGCGAAGGCGGCCUUCUGGACUGACACUGACGCUGAGGUGCGAAAGCGUGGGGAGCAAACAGGAUUAGAUACCCCAGUAGUC